AGCGAACGCCGGCGGCAGGCCUAACACAUGCAAGUCGAACGAACCCUUCGGGGUUAGUGGCGGACGGGUGAGUAACACGUGGGAACGUGCCUUUAGGUUCGGAAUAACUCAGGGAAACUUGUGCUAAUACCGAAUGUGCCCUUCGGGGGAAAGAUUUAUCGCCUUUAGAGCGGCCCGCGUCUGAUUAGCUAGUUGGUGAGGUAAUGGCUCACCAAGGCUACGAUCAGUAGCUGGUCUGAGAGGAUGACCAGCCACAUUGGGACUGAGACACGGCCCAAACUCCUACGGGAGGCAGCAGUGGGGAAUCUUGCGCAAUGGGCGAAAGCCUGACACAGCCAUGCCGCGUGGAUGAUGAAGGUCUUAGGACUGUAAAAUCCUUUCACCGGUGAAGAUAAUGACUGUAGCCGGAGAAGAAGCCCCGGCUAACUUCGUGCCAGCCGCCGCAGUAACAC
rnacentral:rRNA from 1 species